GUGUGUGUGUGUGUGUGUGUGUGUGUGUGUGUGUGUUUGUAAGCCCUGUCAAUUGAACCAGUGAAUAAGAAGGCACACGUGUAAAUCAACACGGGGUCGGUCAAAGGAACACGAAAAUGGUGGUGUUCAGUUGGAUUUUUAUAAAAAUCAGCAUAAAAUCAUUAAAUAGUUCAUCUACCAUCAAAAUCCUGAAGUGUUUACUUAACAGGAUUUAUGAGAUGUGUGUAACAGGUGUGUAAAGAUUUAGCACUCGUCCAUCUUUUUACCUUGCGAGCAUGGCUUACACACUUUCGAAGUGCGCAUGCUCUGUUUUGAAUGACGUAAUUUGUGAUGUCAUCAUAAUGGAGUUUUCCAGGGAAAGAAGUUGGCCCAUCUGAGGUAAGUAAACACGGUUGAAAGAAAAUUUUUGCAUAUUAACAAUGAGUUUUUUAUUAGAUAGACUGAUUAAAUGGUGUUUCAUACCGAUCGUGUUAUGUACAAGCGACAGAGUACCCGAGUUACUGAAAAUUCCGAUGAUGAAAGUGAUAUAUCUAGUACGUGAACUGUUUGGGUUUUUUUUCUAAAAUUUAAUCUUUGCAGUUAAUGUACUCUGUAUACUAAAAAUUCAUAUUGAUUUUGGAUAGAAUUUCACAUUUAAAAACAAAUAGAUAUGCGCCAAGUCCUUAGGAAUCUACCCCACCCCCACCCCUCCACACGGGACUUUUUUUUGGAUGAUUGGACCGUAUCCCCCUUUUCAUCUGUCUCCCUACUUUGAAGUUUUUUUCCCAACGCCAUGACAUAAAUAGAUAAAUAAAUAAAAUGCAAAAAUAAAAACGAAAGAUAUAUAUGUAUUCGGAUUGGCAUGUUCCACUUUGUCCGGGUUGAAAUCCCCGAGGAUGCAAAUGUACAUUACGCCGCACUGUUUGCAGUACGUACAUGGUACAGGUGUACCGCAUAGGUAUGUAGCUACUAAGACUAUAAACCAAACAGAAUAUCAUAUGUAAAACUAUUACUCUGAAUGCAUUUUACUUGUUUACAAUGUAGCCUGUCGGGGUGUGGUGCAUGUCACACGCGUUGUUUACACGUGCACUUUAGGUGGCAGUGGAGGAAAUUCGAACCAUGUAUGGAUUAUUGUCUCCUGAUAACUUUGGCAGUUAACUUUUGAUUUCAAUCUACUUUUUAAGAAUAAUAUAACCCUCGCUAAUCAUUGCCAAGCUGCAUUUCGAUCUUGGCAGAAUGAUCUUCAGCUACAAUUCAAAAUUAAGGGGUGAUGUUGUGUACUGAGUUUUUCUUGAUUGUUUACAUCUGUGACUGUUUAUGUGAUGUAUCAACUGAUCAAGCUGUACAGUGUCAUGACAUAUAGUGGCAUAGCUUCCAUUUAUGUACUUGCGCAUCAUUUUGUCAGAAGAAGAAAAUUCUAAAAUGAUAAUUAAGAUUUUUAACAUGUAUAUGAAUAUACAUGUAUGUGUAUGUUUGAUUUUAGUAUAAUACCUGUAGAGAAUAUUUCAGUAGUAUGAAGUGCCACACAUUUAGGCGCAUGCAUGUGGUGUUUAAAGGUCUCAUCUGAAAGACCAGCAACUUUCUCUUUUGAAUGCUAAAUAUGAUGAUGGAGCAUUUACCUCACUACCUACAUUUUCACCCUAAAUAAAGUACAAGCAUGGCUCGAAACCAUGAUUUCUUGAUCCUGUUACCAGUCUUCACGAAAAACUUUGUAAAGCACAGGCCCUUCGGGCCUCCCAGUAUAAUAAUUGUGCAAGCCCGAACAAUAUUUUGCAGGCCCAAAAUGUUUAUUUUCUAAUUUGAUCUCUUGUUAUUUGCUGAUUCUACUCUAUAGACACAUGCACAGUUCUUUUACUGUAGGAAAAUACAGGUCAAGAUGAUCAUAGUUAAAGAACAACUGACAUUAAAAGGAUUAUAUUAUUUUUCAACAUAUUAAUCCAGUAUAUGCGAAAGUUUUUGGACCACACAGGACAUUCGGUCCAGUGUAAUCAAUGAACACACCGGACCGAACCAAAUUUUGUCAGACCGAAAAACCUAAUGUAAAAAAGUGAAACACGUGAAAAUGCAAAACCAAGGGAAUCUUAUUUAUUAUACUAGUAAUACUAUUCCAGGAAUCCUUCCCGUAUAAUACUUUAGACAGUCCAUGCGGUUUUAAUCAAUUCAUUUACGUAUUUGGAUGUGUGCUAUUUUUGUUACUUAUAACAAACUCCGCAUCAAGAUAGUAAAGCUCAAAACCGGACAUUGAGACAUCUGACAUUCCGGUCCGGUGUAAAAAAUGAUGCAUCGGACCUGAGGCACUGCACAUCGGUCAGGUCCGACGGUCCGAUGUCUUUCGCAUAGACUGAUUAAUCUCGCAGAUACAUCAGCAGCUCAUGUUCAACUCUGUUUUGUAUACACCACGUACAAAACAUUUUUUAAAUGUUAGCCAAGGCCUACCCUCGCAGUGUUCGAAAUUGGUUUAAAACUUGGUAUAGACCACAGGUCUAUGCCAAAAUAAAAUGACUUAGACGUACCUCAUCGAAUUGGCAUAGACCACAACAUUGAAAAAAUAAUAACACAAAUUUAAAACAUUUUCAUUUACUUCUAAUAUACUUAGAAAGUGUAUUUUCUUUCCAUUUCUGUAAUAUCAUCCUUUCCUCAUAAUGUUUAUCAGACGUCGACUGACCAUGCAAGGCCCUCUUGGAUAACUUUAUUGCUUUAAAUCUAGAAAAUUGGCAUAGACAAUUUGGUCUAUCUCAAUUACAGUUGGCAUAGACCAGUGCCAUUUGACAUAUACUCGGUCUAUGGUUAAUUUUGAACACUGCCCUCGGUCCAAUGGGGCAUGAAUUUUCGUUUUUUUUCUCCUCGUACGACAGUUUUUUUUGGGUUUUUUUAUCGGAUGGUUGUAAUUGUGAAAUACGCUUGGGUGGUUUUGAAUUUCCCGGACGAGCCCCCUCCCUAUACUUCAGAAAAGGCAGCAUGGUUGAUAAUUUUUCUAUGCGAAAUUUGACUACUAAGUCAUGACAUUUAGUCUGAGUCAAUCUCACGCUUUAUUUGUAAUAUAUACAGAACAUAUAAGAAAACAUUUACAGGCCCAUCGGACUCCAGGGUUUAAUAUUUUAAGAAGCCCGAUCCCGAUUUUACUGGCCUCGGGCAUCAGGCCACUGGUUAAUGUCGAAGACUGUGUUACCACUGAGCUACCAUGACCAAUUUUUAUACGCCCGUCUUAAGACGGGACGUAUUAUGGUAUGGCGUGUCUGUCCGUCCGUCUGUUAGCUUUUUCGUGUCCGACCCGUAACUUAAAUACUACAAGGCCUAGAAUCAUCAAACUUUGUCUGUAGAUACAUCUUGGGUAGAAGGUGUGUCGCACAUUAAAACCAGGUCACUGUGACUUUUCAUUAAGAAGAUAUGGCCAUAUAUGGCAAAAACUUGUCCGGCUCAUAACUUGAAAACUAUUAGACCUAGAAUCACCAAAAUUGGUCAACUAAUGCAUCUUAGGUAGAAGGUGUGUCGCAUCCUACUUUAAGGUCACUGUGACAUUUAAUUAAGGUGAUAUAAAAAAAAAAAAGUUUUAAUGGGUACUAUCUAUACUGUUAACAAUAUGUGACGGACGUAUCAUGUGCCAUGGCGGUGCACUUUAUUUAACAUGAAUUCAUAGCUACAGUUAGAUAAUAUUCUGGUCAGCACAUUCGAUAAACUACAUGGAAUUCAUUAAAUCACUUCUUUUUCUUUCAGUGGUCUUCAACUUUUAAUCUCCAAGAAGGAAAUGUAAUUAAAAGAUGAAUAAAGUAUCCCUAAGAAUACCAGAAGAAAGGCUAUGUGUUGAGAAAAACAGCCCUUCCUCAGUACCUCAGAACUAGAUGAUAGCCCUUAAUUGUUACUUUAUGCUGAAUAUGACACAGUAUAGAAGAUCUGAUCAUGAAGAAGUAACACCAUUGAUACACUUGCCAACUGCCAAAAUUACUUUCUGAUAGUAUGACGAGAUUAGAAGAUAUCAUGGUGUAGUCAUGACACAAACUGCAAAUCAAAGAAUUAAUUGUCUUCCCCAGAGGAUGAACAGAGCACGAUGGCUUCACAUGGAUAACAUUUCCUUUCGAGUUUUGAAAUUAAUUUGUCAGAAUGUUAUGCAUCGUUAUCAACAGAAAAGAACUUCAUAGGUAGACCAAAGCUGACAUGGGAUGAGAUCCUAGAACAAGACCUAGAGUUUACAGGAUUGGAUAGGAUCAAUCCACUGGGUCGCCAAGUGUGGAAGUACAAACUUCAACCUCGACAGGACAGCCAGGCCUCACCCUUGCAAAAAGAUUAAUUUGGCCUGGAUAGUCAAAAUGAGUGAUGAUGAUUGAUAUCAAGGUCUGACACUGGAAGCUCAGUAAGGGUAGAUGCUGGCAAUGGAGCUGUUUAGCAAUAAAACAAACAAGUUUAACAUUAAACAUGUUUGUAUACUUUUUUGGCUCACCUGAGCCAAAGGCUCAAGUGAGCUUUUCUGAUCACCUUUGCCUGUCGUCUGUCUGUUUAUAAACUUUUCACAUUUUCAUUUUCUUCUCCAGAGUGAACCACUGGGCCAGUUUCAAUCAAACUUGGUAUGCAUCAUCAAUAGAUAAAGGGUAUUCAAGUUUGUUCAUAUAAAGGGUCAUGCACCCUUCAAAAAGGAAAUAAUCAUGGAAAUGCAAAAAUAGGGUGGGGUCAUUUAAAAAACCUUUUCAAGAACCACUGGACCAGGAAAGUUGAAUUCACACGAAAGGUUCCUCUUUUGUGCAAAUCAUGGUCUCUGGGGGUAGGGUGGGGUCACAAUAGAGAAUCAAAGUUUUACAUUCAUAUAUAGUGCAUAUUCAAGUUUGUAAAAAGCUCACAGGGGUAGGGUGGGGGUCACAAUAGGGGAUUUAAGUUUUACAUGUGAAAUAUAUACAAGGAAAA